CCUACGGGUGGCAGCAGUGGGGAAUAUUGGACAAUGGGGGGAACCCUGAUCCAGCCAUGCCGCGUGUGUGAAGAAGGCCCUCGGGGUGUAAAGCACUUUCAGUGAGGAAGAACGCCUGGUGGUUAAUACCCAUCAGGAAAGACAUCACUCACAGAAGAAGCACCGGCUAACUCCGUGCCAGCAGCCGCGGUAAUACGGAGGGUGCGAGCGUUAAUCGGAAUUACUGGGCGUAAAGCGCGCGUAGGUGGCUUGAUAAGCCGGUUGUGAAAGCCCCGGGCUCAACCUGGGAACGGCAUCCGGAACUGUCAAGCUAGAGUGCAGGAGAGGAAGGUAGAAUUCCCGGUGUAGCGGUGAAAUGCGUAGAGAUCGGGAGGAAUACCAGUGGCGAAGGCGGCCUUCUGGACUGACACUGACACUGAGGUGCGAAAGCGUGGGUAGCAAACAGGAUUAGAUACCCUGGUAGUC
rnacentral:rRNA from 1 species